ACGAACGCUGGCGGCGUGCUUAACACAUGCAAGUCGAACGAUGAAGCCUUUUGGGGUGGAUUAGUGGCGAACGGGUGGGUAACACGUGGGCUAUCUGCCCUUCACUCUGGGACAAGCCCUGGAAACGGGGUCUAAUACCGGAUAACACUCUGUCCUGCAUGGGACGGGGUUAAAAGCUCCGGCGGUGAAGGAUGAGCCCGCGGCCUAUCAGCUUGUUGGUGGGGUAAUGGCCUACCAAGGCGACGACGGGUAGCCGGCCUGAGAGGGCGACCGGCCACACUGGGACUGAGACACGGCCCAGACUCCUACGGGAGGCAGCAGUGGGGAAUAUUGCACAAUGGGCGAAAGCCUGAUGCAGCGACGCCGCGUGAGGGAUGACGGCCUUCGGGUUGUAAACCUCUUUCAGCAGGGAAGAAGCGAAAGUGACGGUACCUGCAGAAGAAGCGCCGGCUAACUACGU
rnacentral:rRNA from 1 species